rnacentral:tRNA from 1 species
GUCUCGGUAGUCUAAAGGCUUAGGACUCUCGCACGGAAUGCAAGAGAUCCGGGUUCGACUCCCGGCCGAGGCA